rnacentral:sRNA from 1 species
GACAUUCGGGGCACGCACUCCUCCUCCCAGCGUUGUCCCGUACAGACCGGCGAGACUCCUUCUCCCAUUUGCCGGUCAUUCAUAUGACGCCCACCGGACCUCCUCCCCCGGUGGGCGUUAUUU